rnacentral:rRNA from 1 species
AGUGAACGCUGGCGGUAGGCCUAACACAUGCAAGUCGAACGGCAGCACAGUAAGAGCUUGCUCUUACGGGUGGCGAGUGGCGGACGGGUGAGGAAUACAUCGGAAUCUACUUUUUCGUGGGGGAUAACGUAGGGAAACUUACGCUAAUACCGCAUACGACCUACGGGUGAAAGCAGGGGAUCUUCGGACCUUGCGCGAUUGAAUGAGCCGAUGUCGGAUUAGCUAGUUGGCGGGGUAAAGGCCCACCAAGGCGACGAUCCGUAGCUGGUCUGAGAGGAUGAUCAGCCACACUGGAACUGAGACAGGGCCCAGCCUCCUACGGGGGGCAGGAGGGGGGAAUAUUGGACAAUGGGCGAAAGCCUGAUCCAGCCAUACCGGGGGGGUGAAGAAGGCCUUCGGGUUGUAAAGCCCUUUUGUUGGGAAAAAAAAGCAGCAGGUUAAUCCCCCGCUGUUCUGACGGUACCAAAAGAAUAAGCACCGGCUAACUUCGU